rnacentral:rRNA from 1 species
UGGGGAAUAUUGCACAAUGGGCGCAAGCCUGAUGCAGCCAUGCCGCGUGUGUGAAGAAGGCCUUCGGGUUGUAAAGCACUUUCAGCGGGGAGGAAGGCGAUAAGGUUAAUAACCUCAUCGAUUGACGUUACCCGCAGAAGAAGCACCGGCUAACUCCGUGCCAGCAGCCGCGGUAAUACGGAGGGUGCAAGCGUUAAUCGGAAUUACUGGGCGUAAAGCGCACGCAGGCGGUUGAUUGAGUCAGAUGUGAAAUCCCCGGGCUUAACCCGGGAAUUGCAUCUGAUACUGGGCAGCUAGAGUCUUGUAGAGGGGGGUAGAAUUCCAUGUGUAGCGGUGAAAUGCGUAGAGAUGUGGAGGAAUACCGGUGGCGAAGGCGGCCCCCUGGACAAAGACUGACGCUCAGGUGCGAAAGCGUGGGGAGCAAACAGG